AGUCAUAUGCUUGUCUCAAAGACUAAGCCAUGCAUGUGUAAGUAUAAGCAAUCUAUACAGUGAAACUGCGAAUGGCUCAUUAAAUCAGUUAUUGUUUAUUUGAUGGUACCUUACUACUUGGAUAACUGUGGUAAUUCUAGAGCUAAUACAUGCCAAAAACCUCGACUUCUGAAGAGGUGUAUUUAUUAGAUAUUAAACCAAUCUUCCUUCGGGAUGUUCUGGUGAUUCAUAAUAACUUUUCGCAGCGCAUUGUCUUGUGCAAGCGCGAGAUCAUUCAAAUAUCUGCCCUAUCAAGUUUCGAUGUGAGGGUAGUGUCCUCACAUGCUUUUGACGGGUAACGGGGAAUUAGGGUUCGACUCCGGAGAGGGAGCCUGAGAAAUGGCUACCACAUCCAAGGAAGGCAGCAGGCGCGCAAAUUACCCAAUCCCGACUCGGGGAGGUAGUGACAAGAAAUACUGAUAGCAGGGUCCUUUAUGAUCUUGUGAUUGGAAUGAGUACAAUUUAAACCCAUUAACGAGGAGCAACUAAAGGGCAAGUCUGGUGCCAGCAGCCGCGGUAAUUCCAGCUUUAGUAGCAUACAUUAAAGUUGUUGCAGUUAAAACGCCCGUAGUUGAAGUUUGGGCUUCAUCAGCUGGUCCGCCUCACCGCGAGUACUGGUAUGACUGGGUCUUUCUUCUUGGAGAACUGCAUGCUCUUUAUUGAGUGUGUAAGUGAACCAGGACUUUUACUUUGAAUAAAUUAGAGUGUUUCAAGCAGGCUUUUGCAUGAAUAUCUUAGCAUGGAAUAAUGAAAUAUGACGAGCUGUCGUAUUUUAUUGGUUUUCACGACUGCCGUAAUGAUUAAUAGGGAUGGUCGGGGGCAUCGGUAUUCAAUCGUCAGAGGUGAAAUUCUUGGAUUGAUUGAAGACCAACCGCUGCGAAAGCAUUUGCCAUGGAUGUUUUCAUUAAUCAAGGACGAAAGUUAAGUGAGCGAAAACGAUCAGAUACCGUUGUAGUCUUAACCGUAAACGAUGCCGACUAGGGAUCGGGUGGUGUCUUCUUAUAAAUGACCUGCUCGGCACCUUGUGAGAAAUCAGAGUUUUUGGGUUCU
rnacentral:rRNA from 1 species